rnacentral:rRNA from 1 species
AACGCUGGCGGCGUGCUUACACAUGCAAGUCGAGUGCGCGGUUGUAGCAAUACAACUGGCGCACGGCGCACGGGUGCGUAACACGUGGGCAAUCUGCCCUCCGAUGGGGAAUAACUCCGGGAAACCGAAGCUAAUUCCGCAUAACAUUCCCUGGACUCCGGUUCGGGGAUUCAAAGCAGCAAUGCGUCGGAGGAGGAGCCCGCGCCCGAUUAGCUUGUUGGCGAGGUAACGGCUCACCAAGGCAAUGAUCGGUAGCUGGUCUGAGAGGAUGGCCAGCCACACUGGAACUGAGACACGGUCCAGACUCCUACGGGAGGCAGCAGUGGGGAAUCCUGCGCAAUGGGCGAAAGCCUGACGCAGCGACGCCGCGUGGGGGAUGAAGCUUUUCGGAGUGUAAACCCCUUUCGACCGGGACGAAUGCCCGCAAGGGAGUGACGGUACCGGUAGAAGAAGCCCCGGCUAACUACGUGCCAGCAGCCGCGGUAAGACGUAGGGGGCCAGCGUUGUUCGGAAUUACUGGGUGUAAAGGGUUCGUANGCGGUGUGGCAAGUCGGGAGUGAAAUUUCUGGGCUU